AGAGAGCUGGGAAGAUGGCACGGUAUCGCGAGAGCCGCGUGCCGUGCCGCGCUGGAUGGCGCUGGUGGGGGCUGGAUGCGCCCACGGCUCGCCCUCUCUCCCGUUAAAUCACACGGUAGGACACGCGAUCGGACGGAGACCGGCGGCGACAGCACCCGGGGACUGAAAAAGGAGCUAAUAGAGCAUCAAAGGCAUCUCCUCAUGGGAGCGACACUCCACCUAAAUCAGCGUUCUUCUCACAGAAUCUGCUAACGGAUGCUUUGGACCAGUUCUCCUGCUAAAUCCAAGGACCUAAAGAAAAGAAAAGAAAACUCAACCACCGGCUAAAUUUUUCAAACGUUCUAAAGUGAAAACACGGCUGUUGAGGGGGAGGGUUGUAUGGGUACCGAAUCCCCAUCCAAGACACACUCGAUCUACACCCACCACCGCCGCCGCCGCCUCCCUUUCAUUCCUCUUCCUCCCUUCAUCUCCUCCUUCUCUACUUUUUUCUCAUUCUCCUUCUUGCUCUCUCAUGGGAGUGACAUAGAGGCCGUCGCUCGCUCUACUGCCCCGCCCCUUCCCCCCGUCUCCGCGGAAACGGGGGCGUCCAGGUAGUGAUGUCGUGGAAGAGGAACUACUUUGCGUCGGGUGGCGGAGCAGUAGGCGGGGUGCAGGGGCUGGUGAACCCGAGAACCAUGACCUCCAUCGCACCCAGCAAAGGCCUGAGCAACGAACCAGGACAGAACAGUUGUUUCCUGAACAGCGCUCUGCAGGUUUUGUGGCAUCUCGACAUCUUCCGCAGAAGCUUUCGACAGCUGACCACACACAAAUGCAUGGAGGACUCGUGUAUCUUCUGCGCUCUGAAG